CCUGGUCAGGACGAAGUCAGGGGAAACCCUGAUGGAGGUCCGUAGCGAUUCUGACGUGCAAAUCGAUCGUCGGAACUGGGUAUAGGGGCGAAAGACUAAUCGAACCAUCUAGUAGCUGGUUCCCUCCGAAGUUUCCCUCAGGAUAGCUGGCACUCGUAGCAUACGAGUUUCAUCCGGUAAAGCGAAUGAUUAGAGGCAUUGGGGUCGAAACGGCCUCAACCUAUUCUCAAACUUUAAAUGGGUGAGAUCUCCGGCUUGCUCAAAUCAAUGAAGCCGUGAGAAUCGAAUCAGAGUACCAAGUGGGCCAUUUUUGGUAAGCAGAACUGGCGCUGUGGGAUGAACCAAACGUCGAGUUAAAGCGCCCAAAUCGACGCUUAUAGGACACCAUGAAAGGCGUUGGUAACUUAAGACAUCAGGACGGUGGCCAUGGAAGUCGGAAUCCGCCAAGGAGUGUGUAACAACUCACCUGCCGAAGUUACUAGCCCUGAAAAUGGAUGGCGCUGAAGCGUCGUGCUUAUACUCGACCGUCAGCGGCAUGUGCGGUCUGUAAUGUUUUAUUUUAAAAUAUUAUGGCCAUGAAGCUCUGACGAGUAGGAGGGUCGCGGCGGUGUGCGCAGAAGGGCUGGCCGUGAGGCCGUCUGGAGCCGCCGUCGGUGC
rnacentral:rRNA from 1 species